AAAUUGAAGAGUUUGAUCAUGGCUCAGAUUGAACGCUGGCGGCAGGCCUAACACAUGCAAGUCGAACGGUAACAGGAAGAAGCUUGCUUCUUUGCUGACGAGUGGCGGACGGGUGAGUAAUGUCUGGGAAACUGCCUGAUGGAGGGGGAUAACUACUGGAAACGGUAGCUAAUACCGCAUAACGUCGCAAGACCAAAGAGGGGGACCUUCGGGCCUCUUGCCAUCGGAUGUGCCCAGAUGGGAUUAGCUAGUAGGUGGGGUAACGGCUCACCUAGGCGACGAUCCCUAGCUGGUCUGAGAGGAUGACCAGCCACACUGGAACUG
rnacentral:rRNA from 1 species